GGAUUAGAUACCCUGGUAGUCCACGCCCUAAACGAUGGAUGCUAGUCGCUGUGGUGCUCGUCAUUGCAGUGAUGCAGCUAACGCAUUAAGCAUCCCGCCUGGGGAGUACGGUCGCAAGAUUAAAACUCAAAGGAAUAGACGGGGACCCGCACAAGCGGUGGAGCAUGUGGUUUAAUUCGAAGAUACGCGAAGAACCUUACCCGGGCUUGACAUCCUAGGAACCUUUUAGAGAUAGAAGGGUGCUAGCUUGCUAGAGCCUAGUGACAGGUGCUGCACGGCCGUCGUCAGCUCGUGCCG
rnacentral:rRNA from 1 species